rnacentral:rRNA from 1 species
UACGGGGGGAGCAAGUGUUGUUCGGAUUUACUGGGCGUAAAGGGCGCGUAGGCGGUCAGCACAAGUCAGUUGUGAAAUCUCCGGGCUUAACUCGGAAAGGUCAACUGAUACUGUGCGACUAGAGUGCGGAAGGGGCAACUGGAAUUCUCGGUGUAGCGGUGAAAUGCGUAGAUAUCGAGAGGAACACCGGUGGCGAAGGCGGGUCUCUGGGCCGAUACUGACGCUGAGGAGCGAAAGCGUGGGGAGCAAACAGG